rnacentral:rRNA from 1 species
UAGGUGAACCCCCGAGGGAUCAUUACAAGAACGCCCGGGCUUCGGCCUGGUUAUUCAUAACCCUUUGUUGUCCGACUCUGUUGCCUCCGGGGCGACCCUGCCUUCGGGCGGGGGCUCCGGGUGGACACUUCAAACUCUUGCGUAACUUUGCAGUCUGAGUAAACUUAAUUAAUAAAUUAAAACUUUUAACAACGGAUCUCUUGGUUCUGGCAUCGAUGAAGAACGCAGCGAAAUGCGAUAAGUAAUGUGAAUUGCAGAAUUCAGUGAAUCAUCGAAUCUUUGAACGCACAUUGCGCCCCCUGGUAUUCCGGGGGGCAUGCCUGUUCGAGCGUCAUUUCACCACUCAAGCCUCGCUUGGUAUUGGGCAACGCGGUCCGCCGCGUGCCUCAAAUCGUCCGGCUGGGUCUUCUGUCCCCUAAGCGUUGUGGAAACUAUUCGCUAAAGGGUGUUCGGGAGGCUACGCCGUAAAACAACCCCAUUUCUAAGGUUGACCUCGGAUCAGGUAGGGAUACCCGCUGAACUUAAGCAUAUCAAUAAGC